rnacentral:rRNA from 1 species
AGAGUUUGAUCCUGGCUCAGGAUGAACGCUAGCGGCAGGCCUAAUACAUGCAAGUCGAACGGGCUGGAGUAGCAAUACUUCAGUUAGUGGCGCACGGGUGCGUAACGCGUAUGCAACCUACCUUUUAUUGGGGGAUAGCCCGAAGAAAUUCGGAUUAAUACCGCAUAAUACUGUUUGAGGGCAUCUGAAGACAGUUAAAGCUGAGGCGAUAAAAGAUGGGCAUGCGUGACAUUAGCUAGUUGGUGGUGGUAACGGCACACCAAGGCGACGAUGUCUAGGGGUUCUGAGAGGAUGAUCCCCCACACUGGUACUGAGAUACGGACCAGACUCCUACGGGAGGCAGCAGUAGGGAAUAUUGGGCAAUGGCCGAAAGGCUGACCCAGCCAUGCCGCGUGCAGGAUGAAGGCCUUCUGGGUUGUAAACUGCUUUUACCAGGGAAGAAAAUACCUUUGCGAAGGGAACUGACGGUACCUGGUGAAUAAGCACCGGCUAACUCCGUGCCAGCAGCCGCGGUAAUACGGAGGGUGCAAGCGUUGUCCGGAUUUAUUGGGUUUAAAGGGUGCGUAGGCGGCUUGAUAAGUCCGUGGUGAAAGCCAACAGCUCAACUGUUGAACUGCCAUGGAUACUGUCAGGCUUGAGUACAGAUGAGGUAGGCGGAAUGGAUCGUGUAGCGGUGAAAUGCAUAGAUACGAUCCAGAACUCCGAUUGCGAAGGCAGCUUACUAGGCUGUAACUGACGCUGAGGCACGAAAGCGUGGGGAGCGAACAGGAUUAGAUACCCUAGUAGUCC